rnacentral:lncRNA from 1 species
AAUUUGAAUUUGUGUUGUAUAGAAUUCUAUUUGAGGAGAAACGUUUCCUAUCAUUCGAAUUAUAUACUAUACAACUUAAAGCAUAUUCCGAUCUUAUGCCUUGCAAAUAUACAAUCUGAACUUAUGCCUUGCGAAUUUUAUACUAUACAACUUUGAAAAAAAUCUCAAACACCAUAUAAUCAGAGUCUCCAGAAGAUAAGUACUAGUGAUGCAAAAUGUUCCAAUCUGUCCCCUGAAAAUUGAAUAGGAAAUUUUAUGCCAAUAAAAUAUUUGAAGAGAAUGAGUAGUUAUCUUAUUCAAGAACCACACUACUUAACAACUUCCAUUAUACUAUGUAAUGAAGAGUACUACAUUCCAGGAUUAAGUGAUAAACGUGCAAAACAAACGAAACGUUUGAAUAAUUUGUGAUAUAUUGCAGUAGACUAACUUUACAGAGGUAUGUGAGAAAUAAAGAAACAAGGAAUGUAGGAGAUUAACAAUUUUAGAAGAAGCUUACAUGGAAAUCGUGGUUCAAUAAGCAGAAUAGAGAAUCGUUGAACCUAAUGGACAGACACGCCUCAAACAGGUCGACCCGUUGAAGUACUCCUUCUCAAAGGAGACUGCUACAAUAGCAUCCCUGUUAAACAGUACAACAUUUUCAUGAGAAUAAUACAUUGUGCUUGAGCAUAUUUCUACCCAAGUUUAACACUUUGCUCGUACGAGAAUGUUAUAUUUAUAUCGAAAUAAAUGACAACAAAUAAUAUUGUAUAAUCAAUACUUACUUUUCGAGUAUGUAGCUGGCCUUCCUAGAUUUCUUAUUUUUUGCAUAAUGAGUUGUUAGUUUUAGGAUGAUUUGAAUUUCAAAUUUUUAUUAGGUUUUGUUUAGAUAUAUUAGCUAUUUUGAAUUUCCAAUUAUAUAUGCAGAUUUUUGUUUUAACUUGGCUACUAAAAGACGACCUAUGCUUAAUAAAAAUAUAAAGAGACAUUACUAUAAAACCUUUUUGCUUCACAUCUUUUAAAAACAAACAAAUAGUUUCACUUCAUAAUCGUUGGUAAACAAACAAACAAAUAAAUAGUUUCACUUCAUAAUCGUUGGUAAACAAACAAACAUAAUAGUUUCACUUCACAAUCGUUAGUAGCAAUUGUGUCAUGAGAAAAAAGGAGUGGAAAAAAAGUAUUUCUAACAACUCUAAAUGAAAAUUUACCUAACAUAAUUGCCUGCCGCUCANN